CCAAAGUAUUGGAGCCUCAGCUUCACGAUCUGUCCUUCCAGUGAGCACUCAGGGCUGGUUUCCUUCAGAAUGGAUCGGUUUGAUCUUCUUGCAGUCCACGGGACUCUCAAGAGUCUCCUCCAACACCAUAAUUCCAAAGCAUCAAUUCUUCGGCGAUCAGCCUUCUUUAUGGUCCAGCUCUCACUUCCAUACAUCACUACUGGGA